rnacentral:rRNA from 1 species
GAUGAACGCUGGCGGCGUGCCUAAUACAUGCAAGUCGAGCGAACGGACGAGAAGCUUGCUUCUCUGAUGUUAGCGGCGGACGGGUGAGUAACACGUGGAUAACCUACCUAUAAGACUAGGAUAACUUCGGGAAACCGGAGCUAAUACCGGAUGAUAUUUUGAACCGCAUGGUUCAAAAGUGAAAGACGGUCUUGCUGUCACUUAUAGAUGGAUCCGCGCUGCAUUAGCUAGUUGGUAAGGUAACGGCUUACCAAGGCAACGAUGCAUAGCCGACCUGAGAGGGUGAUCGGCCACACUGUAACUGAGACACGGUCCAGACUCCUACGGGAGGCAGCAGUAGGGAAUCUUCCGCAAUGGGCGAAAGCCUGACGGAGCAACGCCGCGUGAGUGAUGAAGGUCUUCGGAUCGUAAAACUCUGUUAUUAGGGAAGAACAUAUGUGUAAGUAACUGUGCACAUCUUGACGGUACCUAAUCAGAAAGCCACGGCUAACUACGUG